GGAAGUCAUCCGGCUGGAUGAGGAGACUGUCUUGAAAACAGUUGGUCGCUCGCGCGACUUGGGGGUUCGAGUCCCUCGACUUCCGCC
rnacentral:tRNA from 1 species